GGGGCCCUAAAUCAAGGCCAGCAGUUUGCUGACUCUGUUUGUUGGUUUCUAGCAGGAGCCUAAAGAAAUCUCUUUCUAUGUUCUGUUGACCACUUGAGGAUUUUGGAAAUAUAACGGUCAGUUCAUUAGAAAGAAACAUUU